CGGGCGUCCUCACAAAUUACCUGCAUUCAGAGAUUCAUACCGGCACAGGUCGGUAUGCGAAGUCCCUUUUGGGGCCUUAGCUCAGCUGGGAGAGCACCUGCUUUGCAAGCAGGGGGUCGUCGGUUCGAUCCCGACAGGCUCCACCAUAUUGAGUGAAAAGACUUCGGGUCUGUAGCUCAGGUGGUUAGAGCGCACCCCUGAUAAGGGUGAGGUCGGUAGUUCGAGUCUACCCAGACCCACCACUCUGAAUGUAGUGCACACUUAAGAAUUUAUAUGGCUCAGCGUUGAGGCUGAGACAUGUUCUUUUAUAACUUGUGACGUAGCGAGCGUUUGAGAUAUCUAUCUAAACGUGUCGUUGAGGCUAAGGCGGGGACUUCGAGUCCCUAAAUAAUUGAGUCGUAUGUUCGCGUUGGUGGCUUUGUACCCCACACAACACGGCAUAUAGUUCCGAGGCAACUUGGGGUUAUAUGGUCAAGCGAAUAAGCGCACACGGUGGAUGCCUAGGCGGUCAGAGGCGAUGAAGGACGUGGUAGCCUGCGAAAAGUGUCGGGGAGCUG
rnacentral:misc_RNA from 1 species